rnacentral:rRNA from 1 species
AACGAACGCUGGCGGCGUGGAUAAGACAUGCAAGUCGAACGGGACAGACCGAGUAGCAAUAUUUGGAAUGUUCAGUGGCGAACGGGUGCGUAACACGUGGAUAACAUUCCGGAAAGCGGGGAAUAGCCCAGGGAAACUUGGAUUAAUACCGCAUGUGGCCGCAAGGAUAAAGACGGGGACCGGAAGGCCUGUCACUUUCCGAUUGGUCCGCGGCCUAUAAGCUAGUUGGCGGGGUAAUGGCCCACCAAGGCUACGGCGGGUAGCUGGUCUUAGAGGACGACCAGCCACACUGGAACUGAGACACGGUCCAGACACCUACGGGUGGCAGCAGUCGAGAAUCUUUCACAAUGGGGGCAACCCUGAUGGAGCGACGCCGCGUGGAGGAUAAGGUCUUCGGAUUGUAAACUUCUGUCAUGCGAGAACAAGGUACUCAGGCUAAUAACCUGAUUGUUUGAAGGUACCGCAAGAGGAAGAGACGGCUAACUCUGUGCCAGCCGCCGCAGUAAGAC